rnacentral:rRNA from 1 species
GACGAACGCUGGCGGCGUGCUUAACACAUGCAAGUCGAACGGAAAGGCCCUGCUUUUGUGGGGUUCUCGAGUGGCGAACGGGUGAGUAACACGUGAGUAACCUGCCCUUGACUUUGGGAUAACUUCAGGAAACUGGGGCUAAUACCGGAUAUGAGCUCCUGCUGCAUGGUGGGGGUUGGAAAGUUUCGGCGGUUGGGGAUGGACUCGCGGCUUAUCUGCUUGUUGGUGGGGUAGUGGCUUACCAAGGCUUUGACGGGUAGCCGGACUGGGUGGGUGACAGGCCACACUGGGACUGAGAUACGGCCGAGAGUACUACGGGAGGCAGCAGUGGGGAAUAUUGCACCAUGGGCGGAAGCCUGAUGCAGCAACGCCGCGUGCGGGAUGACGGCCUUCGGGUUGUAAACAGCUUUCGCCUGUGACGAAGCGUGAGUGACGGUAAUGGGUAAAGAAGCACCGGCUAACUACGUG